UUUAGAGUUUUGAUCCUGGCUCAGAUUGAACGCUGGCGGCAGGCCUAACACAUGCAAGUCGAACGGUAGCACAGAGAGCUUGCUCUCGGGUGACGAGUGGCGGACGGGUGAGUAAUGUCUGGGAAACUGCCUGAUGGAGGGGGAUAACUACUGGAAACGGUAGCUAAUACCGCAUAACGUCGCAAGACCAAAGAGGGGGACCUUCGGGCCUCUUGCCAUCAGAUGUGCCCAGAUGGGAUUAGCUAGUAGGUGGGGUAACGGCUCACCUAGGCGACGAUCCCUAGCUGGUCUGAGAGGAUGACCAGCCACACUGGAACUGAGACACGGUCCAGACUCCUACGGGAGGCAGCAGUGGGGAAUAUUGCACAAUGGGCGCAAGCCUGAUGCAGCCAUGCCGCGUGUAUGAAGAAGGCCUUCGGGUUGUAAAGUACUUUCAGCGGGGAGGAAGGGAGUAAGGUUAAUAACCUGUUCAUGUCUACCGCAACCGA
rnacentral:rRNA from 1 species